CCCAUCCAAUUAAACUUAGUCAUUUGAUUAUAGUUCCUCUUUAAGGAAGAGGCAGCUUUUCAAAAGGGGCUUGAGGAGGAGCUUCUCAUUGAACUCAGUGGCUUUCACAGAGACUGGGUGCUAAUCACUCUGAAGCCUGCAUUCUAUAGAGCUGACUGAAAAAUAGGAAAAGCUGGGUUCAAUCGAUUACAUGGUAAUCUCCAGCGACUCACCGGAGGGAUCUACCAAGUGUCUCCUAUAAACAUUUCAGCAUAAAUUUUGACUCUUCACAAGAUUAAGACGUGUUCUUCUCUUCAGUGAAUUGUUCGACCACUCCGGAAGAUAAAGUAUUUAUUUAUAGGAGGAUAGCUCCGAAACAAAACUGGUGUAGCAGCAACAUUUUAAAAAGUGUUUUUUAUGUAUGUACAAAUCACAUUGUGAAAACCUAUUUUCGGGAAGAUAAUAAAAGACAUUCUGGAAGCAGAUAAUUUUCUUUAAUGAGUUUUUUUUCUAAUUGUAUCUAGAC